UACGGAGGAUCCAAGCGUUAUCCGGAUUUAUUGGGUUUAAAGGGUGCGUAGGCGGCCUAUUAAGUCAGGGGUGAAAGACGGUAGCUUAACUAUCGCAGUGCCUUUGAUACUGAUGGGCUUGAAUACACUAGAGGUAGGCGGAAUGUGACAAGUAGCGGUGAAAUGCAUAGAUAUGUCACAGAACACCAAUUGCGAAGGCAGCUUACUAUGGUGCAAUUGACGCUGAGACACGAAAGCGUGGGGAUCAAACAGG
rnacentral:rRNA from 1 species